CACCUUGUCAGAAUCCUCAAUGUUUAGUAUCUCCCUCUGCGCAUGCGUGAGUGUGUGUGUUCCACUGGUGUCCAGACUAAUGAUGCUCUCACUGCAAGGUCUGACGUAUUUCAGAUCACUCUUUCUGGAGUCAGUGGUUCUGCAAACCUCAUAAUUGUACACGUGCUGUAAAGUUCCUGUGCCGCCUACGUCUGCGUAAAGAGGCGGAUAAUACGGAAUAACCGGAAGAUUCGCUCCAGAUUUGUAAAACAUGCGCUCGCGUCUCCAUCUGUAGCAUUUGACUGACAGUAUGGCAAUGAUAGACACGAUAAAGAGAAAUGAAACCACAGCCAAGGCCAAGACCAGAUAGAAAGUCAGGUUAUCGUUGUAUUCCUUGUCGUGCGUAAAGUCGGUGAACUCCGAGAGCACUUCAGGGAAGCUGUCCGCCACCGCCACGUUAAC